UACCAGCACCCCGAGUGGUCGGGACGAUUAUGGGGCCUAAAGCAUCCGUAGCCGGUCAUGCAAGUCCUCCGUUAAAUCCACCUGCUUAACAGAUGGGCUGCGGAGGAUACUACAAGGCUAGGAGGCGGAAGAGGCAAGCGGUACUCAGUGGGUAGGGGUAAAAUCCUCUGAUCCAUUGAAGACCACCAGUGGCGAAGGCGGCUUGCCAAUACGCGCUCGACGGUGAGGGAUGAAAGCUGGGGGAGCAAACCGG
rnacentral:rRNA from 1 species